rnacentral:rRNA from 1 species
UACGGAGGAUGCAAGCGUUAUCCGGAAUGAUUGGGCGUAAAGCGUCCGCAGGUGGCUGUGUAAGUCUGCUGUCAAAGAGCAAAGCUCAACUUUGUAAAGGCAGUGGAAACUACACGGCUAGAGUGCGUUCGGGGCAGAGGGAAUUCCUGGUGUAGCGGUGAAAUGCGUAGAGAUCAGGAAGAACACCCGUGGCUAAGGCGGUUCUCUAGUACGGUACUGACGCUGAGACGCGAAAGCGUGGGGAGCGAACAGG